GUGCUUGUUUCAAGAGCACAUGUUCUAACAUUGGAACAAUACAGAGAAGAUCAGCAUGGCCCCUAUGCAAGCAUGACACACAAAUUCAUGAAGACAGUUUUU